UACGUAGGGGGCAAGCGUUGUCCGGAAUCAUUGGGCGUAAAGCGCGCGUAGGCGGCCAGCUAAGUCCGUCCUGAAAGCCCGGGGCUCAACCCCGGGAGGCGGAUGGAUACUGUUUGGCUCGAGUCCGGAAGAGGCGAGUGGAAUUCCCGGUGUAGCGGUGAAAUGCGCAGAUAUCGGGAGGAACACCAAUGGCGAAGGCAGCUCGCUGGGACGGUACUGACGCUGAGACGCGAAAGCGUGGGGAGCAAACAGG
rnacentral:rRNA from 1 species